GGCUGCCACCAGGCAGGCAGCUUUCCCUCCACACCCUUCCGCCGGGGUGAGUCUGCCCAAAGCAAUGGAGCCAGCCGACCAAGGACCGAAACCAUGAGCCAGAAUACAGCUCUCCUCCUUCAAGUUGAUUUUUCUCAGGUCAGGGACAACAAAGUAGCAGGUCCAGGUCCCAGAACGCGGACAGCAACAGUGGGUCUCCUACAGCUGGCACCUCGAACAGGGAGAGGGGACGCCUUCAGCUAUAUGAUCUGUUUCACAACAACAGGCUUGCCCGAGAGCUGACGUUGCUUUGGAAGUUCACAUGGCAGAGGAAUGACCUGCUCCCACCUGAGAGGAUCUGGCCGGCCACGGAUUCUUGCUCCUGAUCCACAUACUCCCUCGUGACCCUGGCAGAACUAGUGAUUCUGAAGAGGGAAGCCAAGCCCGAGCUUCAUUGCUGGAGGUGCGGCCUUGGGGAGCGGUGGCCUGUUCUGCAUGGUGAGACAAACCUCCUGUUCCUGUGCGUGAAGGACUGAGAAGUCUGUUCAGUUGUUUAUGCCCAGUGUCUGACAUGCAGGCAGCUCUGUGCAGCACUCUCAC
rnacentral:lncRNA from 1 species